rnacentral:misc_RNA from 1 species
CACCACGAGAAACACUCCAAUUGGUGGGGUGUGAGCCGUGAGGGGUUCUCGUCUGUAGUGGACGAGGGCCGGGUGCACAACAACAGGCAAUCGCCAGACACACUAUUGGGCCCUGAGACAACACUCGGCCGACUUCGGUUGAAGUGGUGUCCCUCCAUCUUGGUGGUGGGGUGUGGUGUU